UUACUCACUGCUUUCAGCAUUGGAUUGAUGCAGUGACCCAGCACACAAGUAUUUAUCAUCUUUGGAGAAGCAGGCACUGCAAAGGCCUUGCAGCAGAGCUGUGGGCUGAAAAUGGAUGGUUGGCAUUAGAUUGUUGUGCUGGAGUGCUGCUGGAAGGGUGGUGGGAGCCGAAUAGAGCUCCUAGGUUAGGAAGCACUCAGAGCUGUGCAGGAAAGAGCCUGGAAGGACAGAGUGAAGCCCUUUAUUCCACCUGUGGAAUGGAGUAGCUCAGACACAUCCUUGGUGUGUUGUCAGCUUGAGAAGUCUCAUCCUCUUCCCUGGUUUGUGCCAUGUGUCUCACCCUGGUGACAUGAGCAGGACCAGCUGCAGACAAAUAACUGCUUUUGUCAGGAUUUGGGUAUUCUUGGGAAUCCUGGGAGCUGGAUCCUGCCUGGCAGCCUGGGGCAGUAAUCGAGCACUGACACUCAGCGCCGUGGUGCCUCAGAAUAGCUCAGCUCAAGUUGCUGCUGGCAGAGCUCCAAGAGACCAUGGGCUCCUCUGCUGCCAAGCAGGAGAUCUGCCUUCUGUGACCUUCCAAAGGGAGCCCUUGGGCCCCAGGGCAGUCCUGAAGGACUGGAUCCCUGCUGGCCAUGCUGCAGGUCACCCUGUAAUCACCGAGGAAAUCAAGGAUCUGGCUUCUGAUGGUCUGGGUGGGCCUGUGGAUCUGCAAGGAUUAAAUCAUCCUGUGCUGUGGCAAACUGCUUUUGCUGCCUCUUGA
rnacentral:lncRNA from 1 species